AGCUGCUCAGAAAACAAAGCAAAUCGUUUUCAGAAGUAUAUGAUAAAAACACCAGACAAUAUCUGGGAUUACAGUUAUAAAAAGAUUAUAAUUUUGGUAUCAAUUUUACAUGAUACAGGAUACAUACUUCUAAUGUGCGUUUUGUGCAUCUUCUGAAAUUCAUUUGCAGAUGAACACAAGAUUGUUCCGAAAAUAUCAGUCAGUUGUCCCUUGACCGGCACCUGUCAUUGGGGGGAGCACAGUGGCAGAGAGGUAGCUGACAGGCCGACACUCUUUCCUAUUGUGGGCGAUAGUCAGACCAGUCCAGUCUUUGACCAUCGUAAACCAAUAAACCUGGUCAUCGCGGCUUCCACUACCCUCUGAGGUCUUCUGCUGCGAAAUCAGAGAGGAGACAUCAGUCUCUGAGGAAAUGCCACUUCGAGUUCAUCGGGCUGUUUACUUCAGCUGAAAUAAUAAAGGCCGAGCUGAAUAUUUUUAAGACGAGAAGAGGGAGGACCAAGGUCGUGAGGAUCAACAACUUUGAUGGACCCUGGGCAAACUUGAAGGUCCGAUCCGUGGCUGGUGGUGACUGGACAAACAACCUUCCGUCCGUUAUAGCCAUCUUUCAACUGAAUGGCUGAUUGGCUGAACAAGAAAAUUGUCCUAUCAAAGGAAAGAGAAAGGGGAAGAAUACCUGGACAAGACUGAAGUUCUCAUCAUUAAUGGCACCAUCUGUAGUCACUUAUUUGAACUAACGAGAAUUUCUUGAAAAAUAGCUUGAUCACAAAUUAAUGUUUUAAUGAAACAUGAUAUUUAAAUAAUUUUAAAAACGUGAAAAUUGCUUGAAAUGUGAUUUAUUUGUACUUUUAUUGCAAAAUAAGACCGACUGAAUGUAAAAGAAGCAAAUUUAUUUUGUGUCGCCAUGUGCUAACGCGUUAGAGUUUACCUUGUUGACAAAACAGUCGGACACAGGUGCACAUGCAGAUUUUUGUUUUCAUUAAUGGCGAGUGGGUCGUGUAGAGGAAAACCCCAAGGUAGCCUCACUCUAAUUUUAAAAUGACGAGUUUAAAUUAAGCCGUCCGUUGUGCUCGCCUUAAUUGUGGAAUAAUUUACCGUUCCCAGUAAAAAAAUAAACAUGGGUUGGUGUUUUACGCCGAGCCAGAAACUAAGGCUAUAUCACGUCAAGGCAACCAACCCUGUAAACAGAUGCCACAUGCAGAGAAAGAACAGCGUGCCCGAGACGAGAUCCGAACCCACGACAGCCAACCCUCACUGUCCUGGUGACAGGCGCUAACCGUUGCACCACCGGACCGCCCAAUUCGAGCACGGAAAUGAAAUAUUCAGCGUCCGACAAAUCUCCAUAAUUUUAAUAAAUCUCGAGACCAACCGAGGUAAAACAGGUUUGAAGGGAAAGCCGGAGACGAAUGAAGCGCAUUAUACAGACGCUCUGCACAGAAUUCGAACAACAGCGGCGUGCAAGAAACAAAUAAAAAUUUGUUGUCCUGGAUUUUUUUCGCUAAUGACAGAAUUAUGCAUACGCUGACUGUUGACCUUCCACUCCUACUUCUGGCCAUUCUACAGGAGGAGGGGUCGAGUUUGCACGCCAUGAAAGCCUCACUGACGUAUGGAACGCAGCCCGCUGUCAAAAAGUGGUCCAGCGCCUAUUUGACAGCCUCUUGUACCGCAUGCCUUUAACCGCCGCGGUCAGCAGGCCCGCUGAUGCUGUGGUGGUCAUUGACUGUGUGAGUUACUCUUCUCAGCCUCUCUCUUAACGGCAGCUUUGUUACCGCAGUUGCUAGCGGCACUGAAUCUCAGGAGACCUGUUGGAUGUGAUGAAUUGGUAACUUGCUUGCAUUCUUUUGCCUUUUAAAAAAAAAGUUACUUAUGAAAGAAGAUGAGAAUAACAAAGUGUUUAUUUUUUUCCAAAAAAAAGCAAUCUUCUACUUUCGAAAUAACUUAAAAACAACUCAUAAAUGCCAGUUUCUUUGGGAAUGCACAGUAUCAUGUUACUGUUGAAUUGAUAACAGUUACUCGAAGGGGAAAGUAUUGUCCUUGAGACAAGAUGUACAAAAUUAAAAAAAUACCAAAACUUACAGAAUGAUUACAACAAUUAGGAGGUGAGAUUUAUAAGCGAGGUUCUGUAACAGAGAAAAAUAUAGUUGGUAACCUCCGCGGCCAUCAAAGGAAGGAACAUAUUUCCAUCUGACUAUGCUGUCAUCUUACUACAGGGACUAAAAGAAAAACAAGGAAUUAAAGUGCCUUCUAUGAACUGAAAGGGUAAAACGGGAUCCUAGUAAUGUGGAGUUUGUACAAUCGUUAGAAGGUGACUGACACACUGCUCUUCUGAACAAGCAUCUUCAAAGGAAGUUAUAAAUUGUAUUUUUACCUUCAAAGUUAGGUACAUACCAUACACGAUAUUAUCAUCUUUUUUUCCUUGCUAAAUUUUUAAAAUAAAUGUCCUCCUGGGGUUUCUAUUAAAAAUUUAUUUAAAGACGUCAGUGGUGUGCUAAAUAAGUGAAACUGUGAAAGGGAGUAACUUAAUUAGGAAAGUAUUAAUAGAAUGUUACACCACCGACCCACUAAAAAAAAAAUGUCUAAAAAAAAAGUAAUAUUUUUACUAGAAGUAUUUUACUAAUAAUACUUCUCCGGUUUGCUUUAUUCAAGUGUUGUGACACAGUGGAUUGAUAGGUAGGCUUUGCGGAGCUACAGAGACUGGUGUAACCGAGGUCACGGAAGUGCGCUGGAGAUAGCCAUUUGUUAACGUUGGUGUCAUUGCUAUUCACGCGUGUCACCGGCAUGCCUCCAGUUUGUCUCCAUCAGGCUCGUCCCCGGACUCCUUCUCGUGAUGUCCACCUGUAAGACUUCAAAGAAUGUGCCGGCAGGUGGCCUAACGACGUAGAUUUUCCCCCUUGUCGAAAAUAUGUAGUCUGCGCUCCUUCCGUGAGCUCCGUGAGCUUCGUGGUCUUCUCGCUUGAGUGAGCGCAGACUGGAUGUGGAGAACUGUACCAACAACAUUUGCUGACCAGACAUCUUCCUUCCAGAAGAGUGCUUUGUCGUAUAUCGAAUCUUGCACAGGCCAGACGACACCGGAUAACCAUUCCCCCUCUGACGUGCAAAGAACGAGACAUCGCAUGAGCAGCCUGCGACGAAACUCGCCAAGUUUCCGCCUGCAGCGUGAGAAGAGGCAGAUGCAGCUGGUCAACGUGGACGCGCGGCAGAUCUAUAAAGAGACGGCGACGAAAGAGGAGAGAGAGAAGGGUGUGGGCUAUCAUGCGCAGCAACAAUGUCACUACCAUCGCCUCGACUCCUUCUUUCUGCUGCUGCCGUCCUCGCUGCUUUGAAGAUUGUCCAGCCUGUGUGCGGCCUCCCUCCUCACUUCCCUCUGGUUGGGAUGAGUCCGUCACCACCCACCCAUCACAGUUUGCCGCAGGUCGUUGAUGGACAACUAACUGGUUUGGCGCUUCUGUCGACUGCAGCUGUCCCCAGACACAUUCGAGAUGUAGCAGUAAUGCCGAACUGUGGAUCUCUGGCUGGACGAUGUCGCAAUAUUCCUAGAGGCACGUGUGUGAGGAUGUGUGUAAACAACGUGCUAAGGAGGGUUUGCCGAACUUACGACACCAGUGAUAUCUGCAGAGUGUACCGCUUUGUCUCCUAAUACUGGUCUCAAAGGAUGGCGUCCUGUCCAAGGACCCUUCACGCAUGUCAAGAAAGACUGGUUACUUUUCAAUGAGCGUCAAGACAUUCGCCUGUUUUGUUUUGUAUUUUUUUUUUCAGUACGCGGACAGGCCAUCAAUCGUGGAGAAGAAACUCCUCAUGCUACAACACCUAAUGUCAACAGUAACAAAGUGCGUGUUCUGUUGUCUUCGCCAAAGAUAUUCUACUGGCUGGCUACAAAGAUAGGUUAAAGGUCAGGAUCGCCGUGUUUAGGUGGUCAGCUGGUUCCAAUCCUGUGAAUCCUGGACUGUGAUAAUCGUAUACCGAUGAAUCUUGUCAUACACUCUGUCCCAAGUUUCUUAACUGUAAGACAGAAGUCAAUGAAUGCUUUGCCUUCACGUUAUUAUGCUUUGUGUGAUGAAACAAACUUGUUAACCUCACAUACUGGACAUUCUGUAUUGCCAUGGGCUCAUACUUUCGUUGAUUUUACUUAAAUUCAUUUAUUACACUUCCAAAGUAAGAUAGAAUAAGAUGUCUUUCUUCUCGUUAAAAAUUCACGCUAUGAUAAAAAUGAUUUCUUGUUUUAAUAAAAAUAUCACUGUAAUGUGAAGAAUAACUAGAAAAACGUUGACAUUGUCACAAGACUGAAAUUCUAAUUUUUAUCAUGUGGUUAAAUAUAUCAAGAAUGAGCAGGGAUGAAAAUAUUAUUUAAUGUUGCAAAUGUUUAUGGUUCCAUUUAGGUUUAGACCUGUAAGACUCCAAAUUUUGACACUUGUUAUUAUAUGACAAAGAUUAUCUACAUGGCGCGUGAGUAAGCAGGGUGAGCAUGAGUACGUGCAGUCAGUAAGUAAACGGUUGAGUGAAAGGAACUAUGUGGAUGAGUGGUAGGGUUGGUGACAAAUGACUUCAUAUACAAGCAAGGUAUACUCAUGGAUAAUAGUGGUAUCCCAUUCACUAGCUGUUCGUCAAUCUUCUUCGCAGAUGCAUUCAUUCCUGGACAAGUUAAAAGCCUUACAAAUAUUUUGUUUCCCACAUUGCCGUGAAACCUUCCUGAGCAUAAAAUGGCCUUAACAUCAGGUGGUGGGUAAAUACAGCGGAACAAAUCUAUUUUCCAUGAUCGUCAUCGAUAUACAUGUUUUCGCUAAUCGCAGUAAAGUCUGUUACAGCG
rnacentral:lncRNA from 1 species